rnacentral:ncRNA from 1 species
GUGUUGUAUGAAAGGAGAGAAGGUUAGCACUCCCCUUGACAAGGAUGGAAGAGGUCCUUGGGCCUAACUACAUGUGUACAGUUAAGGCAUUGCCACCUGUGGUGAUUUUGUGUUC